CAUAUCAAUAAGCGGAGGAAAAGAAACCAACAGGGAUUGCCUCAGUAGCGGCGAGUGAAGCGGCAAAAGCUCAAAUUUGAAAUCUGGCGUCUUUGGCGUCCGAGUUGUAAUUUGAAGAAGGUAUCUUUGGGCCCGGCUCUUGUCUAUGUUCCUUGGAACAGGACGUCACAGAGGGUGAGAAUCCCGUGCGAUGAGAUGACCCGGGUCUGUGUAAAGUUCCUUCGACGAGUCGAGUUGUUUGGGAAUGCAGCUCUAAGUGGGUGGUAAAUUCCAUCUAAAGCUAAAUAUUGGCGAGAGACCGAUAGCGAACAAGUACAGUGAUGGAAAGAUGAAAAGAACUUUGAAAAGAGAGUGAAAAAGUACGUGAAAUUGUUGAAAGGGAAGGGCUUGAGAUCAGACUUGGUAUUUUGCAUGCUGCUCUCUCGGGGGCGGCCGCUGCGGUUUACCGGGCCAGCAUCGGUUUGGAGCGGCAGGAUAAUGGCGGAGGAAUGUGGCACGGCUUCUGCUGUGUGUUAUAGCCUCUGACGAUACUGCCAGCCUAGACCGAGGACUGCGGUUUUUACCUAGGAUGUUGGCAUAAUGAUCUUAAGUCGC
rnacentral:rRNA from 1 species